rnacentral:tRNA from 1 species
GUCCCGGUAGCUCAGCUGGAUAGAGCAGCCGCCUUCUAAGCGGCAGGUCACUGGUUCGAAUCCAGUCCGGGACG